rnacentral:rRNA from 1 species
ACGGUACCGUAAGAAUAAGGACCGGCUAACUCCGUGCCAGCAGCCGCGGUAAUACGGAGGGUCCGAGCGUUAUCCGGAAUCAUUGGGUUUAAAGGGUCCGUAGGCGGGCCUGUAAGUCAGGGGUGAAAGUUUGUGGCUCAACCAUAAAAUUGCCUUUGAUACUGCAGGUCUUGAGUCAUGGUGGGGUUGCCGGAACAUGUGGUGUAGCGGUGAAAUGCAUAGAUAUCACAUAGAACACCGAUCGCGAAGGCAGGUGACCAACCAUGUACUGACGCUGAUGGACGAAAGCGUGGGUAGCGAACGGGAUUAGAUACCCCGGUAGUCCACGCCGUAAACGAUGGAUACUAGCUGUGGGGACUUCGGUCUCCGUGGCCAAGCGAAAGUGAUAAGUAUCCCACCUGGGGAGUACGUUCGCAAGAAUGAAACUCAAAGGAAUUGACGGGGGCCCGCACAAGCGGUGGAGCAUGUGGUUUAAUUCGAUGAUACGCGAGGAACCUUACCAGGGCUUAAAUGCAGGCUGCAUGGGGUAGAGAUACCCCUUUCUUCGGACCGCCUGCAAGGUGCUGCAUGGUUGUCGUCAGCUCGUGCCGUGAGGUGUCAGGUUAAGUCCUAUAACGAGCGCAACCCCUACCGUUAGUUGCCAGCAUGUCAAGAUGGGGACUCUAACGGGACUGCCGGUGCAAACCGUGAGGAAGGUGGGGACGACGUCAAAUCAUCACGGCCCUUACGUCCUGGGCUACACACGUGCUACAAUGGCCGGUACAGAGGGAAGCCACCCCGCAAGGGGGCGCGGAUCUACAAAACCGGUCACAGUUCGGAUCGGGGUCUGCAACUCGACCCCGUGAAGCUGGAAUCGCUAGUAAUCGGAUAUCAGCCAUGAUCCGGUGAAUACGUUCCCGGGCCUUGUACACACCGCCCGUCAAGCCAUGGAAGCCGGGAGUGCCUGAAGUCCGUCACCGAGAGGAGC